CUUAGCGAAUCGAGGGUGAGAAACCCUCGCGCCGGAUGACCAAGGGUUCCUGGGGCAGGCUAAUCCGCCCAGGGUAAGUCGGGACCUAAGGCGAGGCCGACAGGCGUAGUCGAUGGACAACGGGUUGAUAUUCCCGUACCCGCUUCAAUGCGCCCAUAUCGAACCUCGUGAUGCUAAGAGUCCUUAAGUCCUCUGAUGUCCUUCGGGACUAGGGGUGAGGCUGAACGCUCGAUCCGAUCGGGUAGUAGGUAAGCGAUGGGGUGACGCAGGAAGGUAGUCCAGCCCAGGCGAUGGUUGUCCUGGGGUAAGCAUGUAGGGAGCGAGGUAGGUAAAUCCGCCUCGUAUAUAUCCUGAGAUGUGAUGCCGAGCCGAUUGUGGUGAAGUGGAUGAUCCUAUGCUGCCGAGAAAAGCCUCUAGUGAGUGUUGUGGCGGCCCGUACCCUAAACCGACUCAGGUGGUCAGGUAGAGAAUACCAAGGCGAUCGGGUGAACUGUGGUUAAGGAACUCGGCAAAUUGCCCCCGUAACUUCGGGAGAAGGGGGACCUCUGCUGGUGAUGGGCUUUACGUUCUGAGCUGGUGGGGGUCGCAGUGGCCAGGGGGAAGCGACUGUUUACUAAAAACACAGGUCCGUGCGAAGUCGUAAGACGAUGUAUACGGACUGACGCCUGCCCGGUGCCGGAACGUUAAGGGGACCGCUUAGCCAGCUUCGGUUGGCGAAGGUGAGAACUUAAGCGCCGGUAAACGGCGGUGGUAACUAUAACCAUCCUAAGGUAGCGAAAUUCCUUGUCGGGUAAGUUCCGACCUGCACGAAUGGCGUAACGACUUCCCCGCUGUCUCAACCACAGACCCGGCGAAAUUGCACUACGAGUAAAGAUGCUCGUUUCGCGCAGCAGGACGGAAAGACCCCGGGACCUUCACUACAGCUUGACAUUGGCGUUUGGAACGUCUUGUGUAGGAUAGGUGGGAGACUAGGAAGCUGUCACGCUAGUGAUGGUGGAGUCAUUGGUGAAAUACCACUCUGGUCGUUUUGAACGUCUAACUCUGGUCCGUGAUCCGGAUCGGGGACAGUGUCUGGUGGGUAGUUUAACUGGGGCGGUUGCCUCCUAAAGAGUAACGGAGGCGCCCAAAGGUUCCCUCAGCCUGGUUGGCAAUCAGGUGUUGAGUGUAAGUGCACAAGGGAGCUUGACUGUGAGACUGACAGGUCGAGCAGGAGCGAAAGCUGGGACUAGUGAUCCGGCAUCGGCGUGUGGAAGCGGUGUCGCUCAACGGCUAAAAGGUACCCCGGGGAUAACAGGCUGAUCUUCCCCAAGAGUCCAUAUCGACGGGAUGGUUUGGCACCUCGAUGUCGGCUCGUCGCAUCCUGGGGCUGGAGUAGGUCCCAAGGGUUGGGCUGUUCGCCCAUUAAAGCGGUACGCGAGCUGGGUUUAGAACGUCGCGAGACAGUUCGGUCCCUAUCCGCUGCGCGCGCAGGAGACUUGAAGGGGGCUGUCCCUAGUACGAGAGGACCGGGACGGACGAACCUCUGGUGUGCCAGUUGUACCGCCAGGUGCACGGCUGGUUGGCUACGUCCGGAAGGGAUAACCGCUGAAAGCAUCUAAGCGGGAAGCUCGCCUUGAGAUGAGGUCUCCCACCCCGUGAGGGGGUAAGGCUCCCGGUAGAUCACCAGGUUGAUAGGCCGGAGGUGGAAGCACGGUAACGUGUGGAGCUGACCGGUACUAAUAGGCCGAGGACUUGACC
rnacentral:rRNA from 1 species